rnacentral:rRNA from 1 species
GACGGGGACCCGCACAAGCGGUGGAUGAUGUGGUUUAAUUCGAUGCAACGCGAAAACCUUACCCACCUUUGACAUGGCAGGAAUCCCGAAGAGAUUUGGGAGUGCUCGAAAGAGAACCUGCACACAGGUGCUGCAUGGCUGUCGUCAGCUCGUGUCGUGAGAUGUUCGGUUAAGUCCGCUAACGAGCGCAACCCUCGCUGUGUGUUACAAGUGUCACACGGAACUGCCGGUCAUAAACCGGAGGAAGGUGGGGAUGACGUCAAGUCAGCAUGGCCUUUAUAUCCUGGGCUACACACACGCUACAAUGGGAAGGGACAAUAGGUUGCGAAGCCGCGAGGCGGAGCCAAUCCAGCAAAACUUCCCUCAGUUCAGAUUGCAGGCUGCAACUCGCCUGCAUGAAGUUGGAGUUGCUAGUAAACGCAGGUCAGCCAUACUGCGUUGAAUACGUUCCCGGGGCUU